AUUGAACGCUGGCGGCAGGCCUAACACAUGCAAGUCGAACGGUAACAGGAAGCAGCUUGCUGCUUCGCUGACGAGUGGCGGACGGGUGAGUAAUGUCUGGGAAGCUGCCUGAUGGAGGGGGAUAACUACUGGAAACGGUAGCUAAUACCGCAUAAUGUCGCAAGACCAAAGAGGGGGACCUUCGGGCCCCUUGCCAUCGGAUGUGCCCAGAUGGGAUUAGCUUGUUGGUGGGGUAACGGCUCACCAAGGCGACGAUCCCUAGCUGGUCUGAGAGGAUGACCAGCCACACUGGAACUGAGACACGGUCCAGACUCCUACGGGAGGCAGCAGUGGGGAAUAUUGCACAAUGGGCGCAAGCCUGAUGCAGCCAUGCCGCGUGUAUGAAGAAGGCCUUCGGGUUGUAAAGUACUUUCAGCGGGGAGGAAGGGAGUAAAGUUAAUACCUUUGCUCAUUGACGUUACCCGCAGAAGAAGCGCCGGCUAACUCCGUGC
rnacentral:rRNA from 1 species